ensembl:lncRNA novel transcript
GGUAGGUUGCCAGGUUAAGGAAAUAAAAAUGCAGGGCAGCCAGUUCAAGCUGAAUUUCAGACCGUGCAUGUUAACUAGAUGUCCUGUAUUUACUGUGGCAACCUUACCCCCAGGGGACAUUUGGCAAUGUCUGGAGGCAGUUUUGGUUGUCACUGGGGAUGGUUAGGUGCUACCAGCAUCUGGUGGGAAGGCACCGGGGGUGCUUUUAAACAUUUCACAAUGCAUAGGACAGCUGAGGCCAAAAAAAAAAAAAAAAAUUAUCCAGCCUAAAAUGUCAGUUGUAACAAGGGUGAGAACCCCUGUAUUAAAUGAAAGAUAGCAAAAACCCCAUAAGAACCCCAUAAGAUAUGGUAGGAUCUCAUUUGUACGUCCUGUAUUUACUCUGGCAACCCUACCCCCAGGGGACAUUUGGCAAUGUCUGGGGUUGUUACUGCGGAUGGGGUUGUGUGUGUGUGUGUUUCUUUUUUUCUUUUUACACACCCAACUAAGCCAUAGAAUCGCAUAGAAAAAGGUAUGGAAGGUCACAUACCUAAGUCAUGUGGGGUAGGGAGUGGUCAUUCCUUUUACUCUAAAUACCUUCUGCAGUGUUUUAUUAUUUGUGAAGUUAAUUAUAACUGAAGUGAAUAUAUACGUGUAUACACACACACACAGAAAGCAUGCCUAUCAAAACAAUAGAUAUUUCACAAAGUGAACACACCCAUGGCAUGGCCUCCUGAUGAAGAUGAAGAACAUGGCCACUGCUCCAUGAGGCCCUUUGCAGUCCUGCCAGCCUCUCCCUCGAGGGCUGCGAGGGGAACUGCUGUCCUGACUUCCAACCUGCUUUGGGCUCCACAUGAACCGAAUUCUGCCCGACGUCCUCGCUUGAGACUGGCGUCUUUCCCUCAGCAACGUGUCAUGAUUCAUUCAUGUGGAUCGGAGCAGCGGUUGGAUCAUUUUCAUUGCUGUGAAAUACACCACAAUGGAUUUAUGCAUUCAACCGUUGAUGGACAUUUGGGUCGUUUCCCGUUUGGCAAGAUGAUGAAGAAAGCUGCCGCAGAACCAGAUAGAGCUGGGGACUCACGACCCGUGCUGACGACUGGAUGCAAGAGGAGGAAGGACUUUGGUGGAGAGAAGGAAUCAAAAGGAACCAAGAAUGUGAGACAAGAGGACUUGCUGGUGGGGUCCCCUGCUGUGUCCCCAGAGUCCCAGCAUGUGCCUGACACACAGCAGGUGCCUGAUUGAUAGUGACGGUUCCCCAAAGGCUGCUGGAGUCACCUCUGGGAUUCUGCACAGGCUCCACCCUCUGGGGAGGUGUGCUUGGUAGAGGACACGAAGGCUGCUUGUUGGGGUUACCUUAGUACCUGGGUGAAGAGUAAAAAGUAAUUAAUAAUAACGAAAGAAAA